GGCUCAUUAAAACAGUUAUAGUUUAUUUGAUAAUUAAAGAUUACAUGGAUAACCGAGCUAAUUGUUGGGCUAAUACAUGCUUAAAAUUCCGUGUCCUGUGACCGGAACGUAUUUAUUAGAUAUUAGACCAAUCGCAGAAAUGUGAUUGAGAUGAAUCAAAGUAACUGAUCGAAUCGAGGCUUGCUUCGAUAAAUCAUCUAAGUUUCUGCCCUAUCAGCUCUCGAUGGUAGUGUAUUGGACUACCAUGGCAGUCACGGGUAACGGAGAAUUAGGGUUCGAUUCCGGAGAAGGAGCCUGAGAAACGGCUACUACAACUACGGUUCGGCAGCAGGGAAGAAAAUUGGCCAAUCCUAAUUCAGGGAGCCAGUGACAAGAAAUAGCAAGCUGGGAAACCUAGUUUCUACGGCAUUGAAAUGAGAAAAGUGUUAAUCUCUUAGCGAGGAACAAUUGGAGGGCAAGUCAUGGUGCCAGCAGCCGCGGUAAUUCCAGCUCCAAUAGCGUAUAUUAAAGUUGUUGCAGUUAAAAAGCUCGUAGUUGAACUUCUGUUCAGGUUUAUAACGACUCGUCGUGUAAAACUGGACAUACGUUUGCAAACUAAAAUCGGCCUUUACUGGUUCGACUUAGGGAGUAAACAUUUUACUGUGAAAAAAUUAGAGUGUUCCAGGCAGGUUUUAGCCCGAAUACAUUAGCAUGGAAUAAUGGAAUAGGACUAAGUCCAUUUUAUUGGUUCUUGGAUUUGGUAAUGAUUAAUAGGGACAGUUGGGGGCAUUAGUAUUUAAUAGUCAGAGGUGAAAUUCUUGGAUUUAUUAAGGACUAACUAAUGCGAAAGCAUUUGCCAAAGAUGUUUUCAUUAAUCAAGAACGAAAGUUAGGGGAUCCAAAGACGAUCAGAUACCGUCGUAGUCUUAACUAUAAACUAUACCGACUCGGGAUCGGCUGGAAUAAAUGUCCAGUCGGCACCGUAUGAGAAAUCAAAGUCUUUGGGUUCUGGGGGAAGUAUGGUACGCAAGUCUGAAACUUAAAGGAAUUGACGGAACAGCACACCAGAAGUGGAACCUGCGGCUUAAUUUGACUCAACACGGGGAAACUCACGAGCGCAAGACAGAGAAGGGAUUGACAGAUUGAGAGCUCUUUCUUGAUUCUUUGGGUGGUGGUGCAUGGCCGUUCUUAGUUGGUGGAGUGAUUUGUCUGGUUUAAUACCGUUAACGAACGAGACCUUAACCUGCUAACUAGUCUGCUUGUGAACAACAGGUUGUACUUCUUAGAGGGACUAUUGUGCAAGAAGCCAAUGGAAGUUUAAGGCAAUAACAGGUCUGUGAUGCCCCUAGACGUGCUCGGCCGCACGCGCGUUACAAUGACUGGCGCAGAAAGUAUUUCCUGUCCUGGGAAGGUACGGGUAAUCUUAUUAAUACCAGUCGUGUUAGGGAUAGUUCUUUGGAAUUGUGGAUCUUGAACGAGGAAUUUCUAGUAAGUGCAAGUCAUCAGCUUGCGUUGAUUAUGUCCCUGCCGUUUGUACACACCGCCCGUCGCUUGUAGUAACGAAUGGUCUGGUGAACCUUCUGGACUGCGAUAGCAAUAUUGCGGAAAAAUAAGUAAACCCUACCAUUUGGAACAACAAGAAGUCGUAACAAGGUAUCUGUAGGUGAACCUGCAGAUGGAUCAUUAACACAAUUAACAAACCUUAACUUAUGUACUUUCAAAGAGAACUUCGGUUUUCUUUGAGGUUUUAUUGUCACACCUAGUGUGAAUAAAAAUUUUUCAUAUGUCUAAGAUCUGGAUAACAUCCAAAAAACGAAAAGAAAAUUUUCAACGGUGGAUAUCUAGGUUCCC
rnacentral:rRNA from 1 species